UACGUAGGGUGCAAGCGUUGUUCGGAAUUACUGGGCGUAAAGGGCGCGUAGGCGGUGUGUCAAGUCAGGCGUGAAAGCCCCGGGCUCAACCUGGGAACCGCGCUUGAGACUGGCACGCUCGAGUUCGGGAGAGGAUGGUGGAAUUCCCAGUGUAGAGGUGAAAUUCGUAGAUAUUGGGAAGAACACCGAUGGCGAAGGCAGCCAUCUGGACCGACACUGACGCUGAGGCGCGAAAGCGUGGGGAGCAAACAGG
rnacentral:rRNA from 1 species